rnacentral:rRNA from 1 species
CGGUAGGGUGCGAGCGUUAAUCGGAAUUACGUGGGACGUAAAGCGUGCGCGAGGUCGGUUUGUAAGACAGGCGUGAAACGUCCCCGGGCUCAACCGUGGGAACUGAAAAAAAAACGUUUGUGACUGCAAGGCUAGAGUAUGGCAGAGGGGGGUGGAAUUCCACGUGUAGCAGUGAAAUGCGUAGAGAUGUGGAGGAACACCGAUGGCGAAGGCAGCCCCCUGGGCCAAUACUGACGCUCAUGCACGAAAGCGUGGGUAGCAAACAGGAUUAGAUACCCUGGUAGUCCACGCCCUAAACGAUGUCAACUAGGUGUUGGGUGGGUAAAACCAUUUAGUACCGGAGCUAACGCGUGAAGUUGACCGCCUGGGGAGUACGGCCGCAAGGUUA